rfam:Cavia porcellus supercont2_6 genomic scaffold, whole genome shotgun sequence.
GGAUAUUUAGCUUAGUGGCAUAAGCACAUGCCUGGCAAGCAUGAGGUCAUGAGUUCGAUCCCCAAUACCA